CUAUACAUGCAGUCGAGCGAACGGACGAGAGUGCUUGCACUCUCUGAUGUUAGCGGCGGACGGGUGAGUAACACGUGGGUAACCUACCUAUAAGACUGGGAUAACUUCGGGAAACCGGAGCUAAUACCGGAUAAUAUUUAGCUUCGCAUGAAGCAAUAGUGAAAGACGGUUCUGCUGUCACUUAUAGAUGGACCCGCGGUGUAUUAGCUAGUUGGUGAGGUAACGGCUCACCAAGGCAACGAUACAUAGCCGACCUGAGAGGGUGAUCGGCCACACUGGGACUGAGACACGGCCCAGACUCCUACGGGAGGCAGCAGUAGGGAAUCUUCCGCAAUGGACGAAAGUCUGACGGAGCAACGCCGCGUGAGUGAAGAAGGUUUUCGGAUCGUAAAACUCUGUUGUAAGGGAAGAACAAGUACGUUAGUAACUGAACGUACCUUGACGGUACCUUACCAGAAAGCCACGGCUAACUACGUGCCAGCAGCCGCGGUAAUACGUAGGUGGCAAGCGUUAUCCGGAAUUAUUGGGCGUAAAGCGCGCGUAGGCGGUCUCUUAAGUCUGAUGUGAAAGCCCCCGGCUCAACCGGGGAGGGUCACUGGAAACUGGGAGACUUGAGUGCAGAAGAGGAGAGUGGAAUUCCAUGUGUAGCGGUGAAAUGCGCAGAGAUAUGGAGGAACACCAGUGGCGAAGGCGGCUCUCUGGUCUGUAACUGACGCUGAGGUGCGAAAGCGUGGGGAUCAAACAGGAUUAGAUACCCUGGUAGUCCACGCCGUAAACGAUGAGUGCUAAGUGUUGGGGGGUUUCCGCCCCUCAGUGCUGCAGCU
rnacentral:rRNA from 1 species